ACAAGUAAUAACCCAAUCUGGUAAUCAAAAUGUCCAGGAAGGUAAUACAGGCCACGGUGCACAAGGAAUAAACCAAUCUGGUAAUCAGAACGUCCAGGAAGGUAAUACAGGCCACGGAGCGCAAGGAAUAAAUCAAUCAGGCAAUCAAAAUGUCCAGAAAGGUUAUUUAAGCAAGCUUAUACAAGGAAUAAACCAAUCUGGUAAUCAAAAUGUCGAGGAAGGCAAUACAGG